rnacentral:rRNA from 1 species
AUGAACGCUGGCGGCGUGCCUAAUCCCUGCCAGUCGAGCGAACGGACGAGAAGCUUGCUUCUCUGAUGUUAGCGGCGGACGGGUGAGUAACACGUGGAUAACCUACCUAUAAGACUGGGAUAACUUCGGGAAACCGGAGCUAAUACCGGAUGAUAUUUUGAACCGCAUGGUUCAAAAGUGAAAGACGGUCUUGCUGUCACUUAUAGAUGGAUCCGCGCUGCAUUAGCUAGUUGGUAAGGUAACGGCUUACCAAGGCAACGAUGCAUAGCCGACCUGAGAGGGUGAUCGGCCACACUGGAACUGAGACACGGUCCAGACUCCUACGGGAGGCAGCAGUAGGGAAUCUUCCGCAAAGGGCGAAAGCCUGACGGAGCAACGCCGCGUGAGUGAUGAAGGUCUUCGGAUCGUAAAACUCUGUUAUUAGGGAAGAACAUAUGUGUAAGUAACUGUGCACAUCUUGACGGUACCUAAUCAGAAAGCCACGGCUAACUACGUG